GAAUAAACCCAAGAAGAAGGAUGCAACUGUAAUUAAAUGCAAAAUCAAGGACCUAUCAUGCGAAUUAAUUGCAUACAACACAAGUCCCUUUCCAAAACUUGAUCUCCCACUGCUCCUUCUGUUUUCACUCUCUCCGCGGCCGUUGCUGUCUUGUCCUUCUGAAUAUGGAUGGAUACGCAGAUAGUCGAGAAAAUGCCUCAAUCGGGACUCAAUACUUUAGCUGCUAAAGAUUCUUUUGACAAAUGGAGAAAUAUUUAAAGCUUCCUUGAAAUGUGAAGGUUUGAUCUCACAUAAGAACGAGAAUGAAUGAUAGGCAAUGCCUUGAAAAUGAAACACCUAACUACUUGAUGGCUUCUAUCAGAGGUAUGAAAGUGUGAUUGAAAAGGAAGUGGCUAUAAACAAGUAUUUUCACUUGAUUUUUACCUGUUCCUGGAAUUUCAUGGAUUUUGAUCAAUAUCCAAAGCAUCAAUUUUGGAAAUGCUGAAAGUGAACGCUUGAAAAUGCAAAGCCUGUAAUAUUUGUGACUGAGGUUGGAUGGAUACACUUCCUGACUAACACACACACACACACACACACACUUGUUUGUGUGAUAAUCACAGGCUUUUUAAGUCCUGUGCAAUUUUGCUGGUGUUUUAUGGACAAGACAUGUAAACUGUAUUUGUAUCUCAUAUCAACUCUAUUUGAAUUGUGGUCUGGAGCUCUUCACUUUGAUCCACUACUGUAAUGCUCCAAAGAAUGAGUUGCAAGUCAAGCAUGUUCUGAAACCUUUAUCCCUUGAAAGGCAGUGGAAUUUCAUUUAUGAGCCCAACAUUGGAUUUGACAAUGAAGGGAUUCCAACACAAUGAAGUGCUCGCAAUCGCAUGUGUCAUACAGCUUAUCUGCGAAAGAUUGGAUUUGACAGGCUUUGGGUACUGUUGAGUCAUUGUUCAAUUUGAGUGCAGGGUGAUUGCAAGCAUCUCUAGAUAGAUUGGAAGCCAUUGUAACCCAUACAUGAUGACUGGAGCCAGUUGAAAAGAUAGCAUACCCUUCUUCAUCAAUAUGCUAACUAUUUGAACUUUCGGAGACUAUUUAUGGCCUCUCAGAACAGUAAUGAACAUACCACUUAUUCUAUGUCUUCUUGUUAUUUCACACUUUCGCCACCCGUGAUUAUUAUGCGUUUUUUAGUAGUUGAAUAAAGAUGUUAAUGUGCUUCAGUUAUUGGAGAGUUGUUCAAAUCUCAUUUACAUGACAAAUUUGUAUUUCUGCCUUGCUUA